UACGUAGGGUGCAAGCGUUGCCCGGAUUUAUUGGGCGUAAAGGGCGCGUAGGCGGCUCUGCACGUCCGUUGUGAAAUCGCCCGGCUCAACUGGGCGGGGUCAGCGGAUACGGCAGAGCUUGAGCAAGCUAGGGGGCAAUGGAAUUCCCGGUGUAGUGGUGGAAUGCGUAGAUAUCGCCUGGAACGCCGAAGGUGAAAACAGUCUGCUGGGGGAGUGCCGACGCUGAGACACGAAAGCCAGGGGAGCGAACGGG
rnacentral:rRNA from 1 species